UGAAAAACUAGUUCGCAUAUGAUCAGUGAAGUUAAGCAAUGUCAAGCCUGGUCAUUACCUAGAUAGGUGACCACUUGGGAAUACCAGGUGCUGUAAG